AUCGCUUCUCGGCCUUUUGGCUAAGAUCAAGUGUAAUACGGCACUUUAAAACAAACUGUUAGUCUUUCGUUGAUUGCACUGUAAAUUCCUAGUAAUUGAAAAAAUAUGAUUUUUCUUCCCUUACUGCACUCUUUAAAACGGAGAAUUUUCU
rnacentral:snRNA from 1 species